rnacentral:rRNA from 1 species
UACGAAGGGUGCAAGCGUUGUUCGGAAUCACUGGGCGUAAAGCAUGCGUAGGCGGCUUAACAAGUCGGGAGUGAAAGCCCAGGGCUCAACCCUGGAACUGCUCUCGAAACUGUUUUGCUAGAGUCCCGGAGGGGUUAGCGGAAUUCCGAGUGUAGAGGUGAAAUUCGCAGAUAUUCGGAGGAACACCAGUGGCGAAGGCGGCUAACUGGACGGGAACUGACGCUGAGGCAUGAAAGUGUGGGGAUCAAACAGG